rnacentral:lncRNA from 1 species
CUAGGGUGGCCUGAGGGUGAUGAUUUUCACCCACUGCAAUUCUCAAAGGGAAUCUUUUAUGUUCCAGAACAAUUGUGAUCUAUGUCUGUGGAAAGAGCACUCAAGUCAAUGAAAUUAAAGACCAAUUAAGUCCUUAAGUCAAGAAGAUGCAUCUGUGCACACGUACAGCUGUGCUGCUCCAAAUAAGGACUUCCGGUCAAGAUGGUGGCUUAGAAGCUGCAAAAGUUCAGACCUCAGAAACCCUUCUUUACCAAUCGAAAACUGAGUGCUCCUAGGACACCGAAAUUUAAGCUGAACAACAGGACAGACCCGGGGAACCCUCCUCCCGAACCUGGAUCAAAAGGUAUGGCCCCCCAAAAGCCAAAACCCUAGAUCACUGGGAUCUAAGGGGCAGGCAGAAGGAAGGUCCCAGGACCCAUUCCCCCCCCCCCCCAACCCAGAGUGCUGAGCCCACGACAACAGCGGGAACUUUAGGGCUGGCAAAAGGGCCCCAGGGCUGGCUAUUUUGAAGGACUCACCUUGAAAGCAACCUGAGCCAGUCUCCAGGAUGCCCAGCACAGAUGGCAGAGAAGGGGAAAGCCUCUAGCCCUCUGGCUGAGUUCUUCCAACUGAGUCUCAAGGGAGGUCCCAGCUUUAGGGCACCAGCUGAACCCAAUCCCAUCAGGAGCCCUCAGAGCUACUGAAAGGAAAGAAACCUUAGGGCCGGCAAAGGGGUUGCUCCGAAGAGCCUACCUUGAAAGUAACCUGGGUCAGUCUCUGGGCAUUCAACACAGAUUGUGGAGGAGGAGGUUGUUUUUUUUUUCUCCUUUUUUUGACUUGGGGAUCAUUUAGCCCACACCAGCUGAACCUAAUCCCAUCAGAGCCUCAGGAACCCUCAGAGCCCAGGGAGGCCACUACCCCUUCCCCCUUAGAGAGCUAAGUCUUCUGAAAGAAUCAGCUGAAUCUAAUUCCAUCAAAAGUCUCCAGAACACAGGGAAGCGCAGGCUCUCCACCCAUCCUCAUUGACUGCUGGACUUUAAGCUAACCAAAAGCCUCCAGAGGACAGGGAAGCUCAAACUCCCAACAACCCUCCCCCAGAGACUACACCAAGAGAUCUUCUGUUAAAGCUCCAAGAGGGGAGACUGAUAGAA